NGCGGGUGUAGUUUAGUGGUAAAACUACAGCCUUCCAAGCUGUUGUCGCGAGUUCGAUUCUCGUCACCCGCUU
rnacentral:tRNA from 3 species